UACGUAGGGUGCAAGCGUUGUCCGGAAUUAUUGGGCGUAAAGAGCUCGUAGGCGGUUUGUCGCGUCUGCUGUGAAAAACUCGGGGGCUUAACCCCCGGGCCUGCAGUGGGUACGGGGCAGACUAGAGUGCGGUAGGGGGAGACUGGAAUUCCUGGUGUAGCGGUGAAAUGCGCAGAUAUCAGGAGGAACACCGGUGGCGAAGGGCGGG
rnacentral:rRNA from 1 species